rnacentral:misc_RNA from 1 species
GAUGAAGAACGCAGCGAAAUGCGAUACGUAAUGUGAAUUGCAAAUUCAGUGAAUCAUCGAGUCUUUGAACGCACAUUGCGCCCGCUGGUAUACCGGGGGGCAUGCCUGUCCGAGCGUCAUUGCUGCCCUCAAGCACGGCUUGUGUGUUGGGCCCCGUCCUCCGAUCCCGGGGGACGGGCCCGAAAGGCAGCGGCGGCACCGCGUCCGGUCCUCGAGCGUAUGGGGCUUUGUCACCCGCUCUGUAGGCCCGGCCGGCGCUUGCCGAUCAACCCAAAUUUUUUAUCCAGGUUGACCUCGGAUCAGGUAGGGAUACCCGCUGAACUUAAGCAUAUCAAUAAGCGGAGGA